AUUUGCCAGCACUGUCAUAUUUUCAUAAAACAAAUAGCAGCUUUAACCUGGUGGCCAUUUUUCCUCUGACACAUUAACGUCUGCAAAUUGCGCAUCUGAAAAUGUGCUAUAAAGCCUACAAUCAAGACUGAAGGCAUUCACCUUGUAACAAUACCUGGUAGUCUACUGGGGUGGCAGGGACCCCUUCUUUCUGGUGUGUGCGUCCUUUUAACUCGGCUUGACUUUAUCACACACGAUACGAAAUUAAAAUAUUUAAAGGCGUCUGUGCAUGAUUUUGUUGCUCAACUUUGGUUCUGUUUCCUUGUUGUGAUUCUUCUUAUUGUCUUUUCAUGUUUUGACCUCUGCCUGACCUCUGGCUGCCUGUACUGACCCUUAGCCUGUUUUCUGAUUACAUUUUCUGGAUUUCGAUUCUGUACCUCAUUGCUUGCACGGUUUGGACCUUGGCCUGUUUCAUCUUCGUCUCCACUCCCUGGCUCUGUUUUUAUGCUUAGGUUCCCUAGCCUGCUCAGAACUCUUACCCUGAUCCUCUCACAUAAGUCCUGGCGGCAACCGAGUAGCAGAGUGCUCCUCCCAAAGUGAAAAAGGAAUUUAGUGCAUAUAUAUUUCAUGGGGAAAAUCACAUGUAAAAAUGAUAUAGGCAGGCAACCCGAGUUCCCAAAAGUAUAUAGCAACAAGCAGCCAUAUUGUAGUUAAAAAAUUAUAUAAAGUUUAUUUAGUCUAUAUAUAAAAGAACAAAGAAAGCCUUAUGCAUUUUGUACCAAUAGGGUACUUAAUCAUAGGCUAAAUGCAUUUACAACAAACACACUAUUUAAAGGUAAACUAGCCAAUAGGGAAAACCCUAAAAAUUGGCCAGUCACAACUAUCACGCAUUUGAAUGAUAGGUGGUGGGUGGUUAAAAGGUUUAUAUAUGGAUGUAAGGUGAAUCUCAUUGUGAGAAUAAACAUCCUAAUUUUAGGUACAAUAUAAUGGGGUACAUACUGUAUUUACUCGCAUAUUUACACAUAACAGAUCACAUCAUAGUCAAAGUUUAAACAUAACAAGUCACAACAUAGUCAAAAUUUAAGCCAUUGGGUUGUCUGGUUUUUAGAAAGAAAUACAUUUUGUUUCUUUUCUUAUUAGUGUUUGGGUGAUGUCUCCCCCUCUGGGGUUGGAAAUUACUCUAUCGAUUCCUAUGACAUUCAGAAAUGAUAGUGAUCUGUUAGAGCAAUCAAGGAAGUGUUUCGCUAUUGUAGUGUUUUAAGCCACCUUGAUGAAGGUGAAUACUUUAAUAUAUUAGAAACACUUUCUACUAAAGAGUUACACUCCUGGUGGGAAAUAGCCACAUUUGAAAAAUACAUAUCUCUACAUAUGAUCCCUAGAGGCCUUAGAAUUAAAAAAAUUUCUACUUCACUUUCCUCUGAUGUAGAAUUUAUGGAACAGUGGAAAAAAAUACUCUCUGAGUGCUCUUUAAGGUUAAUGAGUCUUUUAGUUGAUAAAAAAUGUUACAUAUACGAAAAAUUAAAAACGGAAAUCUCCAAUCUAAAAGAAAGUCACACCGACCUAAUUGAGCAUUCAGACUACCAAAAACUUUCUGAUAAUUUAACUAACAAAAUAGAAAAAUUGGAAAAAGAAAUUAUGGAUAAAAAAACCCAUAAGUUCAAGAGAGAUAAAAAAGAUUAUGAUAUGAACACAAUUUACAAUUGGUCACAAUCUAGCAGUAAUCCUAAUAGAUUUUAUACAUAUAAAAAUAGAGGUUCUGUACACAAAUCCAUUUUAAAAACUCCUAGAGAAAAAAGAGUCAGUUUUUUUGGUACAGAUUUUGAUAGCUAUGAUAGCAAUUACGAAUCAGAUUCUGGUGGCUGCUCCUUCUCUCCUCUUUCUUCACAGACGAUCAGAGAAAUACGUUCCAAAGAAACUGGUUCUGAAGUUGACAUCAGAUUAAACCCACUUAUCCGGCAGAAAACGGUCAAGGCCUUUGGUCCAAAUGGAAAAAGAAAACAAAUCACCACUCAAGCAAGUCCGGAGAGGAAGAGGAGUUCACCAGACAAUCAAAAUAGCCCCUGCGAGACAGAAGGAGGAAACGAUAUUGAACCUUUCAACAAGAACUUUCACCAAAGAUGUACUCAGUAUCCUAGAAAAAGGAAUCGGUAGAGUAAUUCCCAACCCCAGAGGGGGAGACAUCACCCAAACACUAAUAAGAAAAGAAACGAAACCCACCUUUACUACAGGCACUGAUCCAAUCAAUAUUUUGCAGCCAGAAAAGAUUUUUACCCCUUCUGGAGCAAACUGGAUACACCAGCAGAUUGAGUGUACAAAUAACUGAUGACCAGGCAAGAAAUUCAAAAGUGUCUACAGUAUACCAGAGAAGAAAAAACCAACAUUCUCGAGUCUAUCAAGGUUGAUAAAACCUACACUAUAGCGAACAAGUGUAGGGGAUCAGAGAACUCUUUCCCCUGUUUCUCAGUCUGAGAUAUCAUCCCGUCCGGCUACAGAAGCCACGGAAUUAACUGUAUAGCAGUUAUAGUUAUAUAUAGUUAUAGUUAUAUAUAGUUAUAGUUAAUAGUAUAGCAGUUAAGCACUGGCCUUUGGGUACCUCUACUUCAUUCAGAUGCCAAUUAAUGCUGCAUAAAUAUGCACUCCAUUAAUCUACAAUAAAUAUGCUCACUGUUUAUGAAACACUUUCCAUGUUAGUGAGAAAUAGAACCAAAUAUUUAAACAGUCCAUAGUUAAGAUUAUUCUCAGAUUAGCCAAUUCAAGGAGGGUGUGGUUGUGGUUUGAAUUCUAAUGUUUGAGCUAACUAAGUUCUGUCAUGUUUUUUUAAGAGUUUAUCUGAAUGAGGAAUUUACCAGCCCUUCUCAUUUCUUCAUAAUUUUUGUUACAUUUGCAGAAUUAUUGUAUACCUGACAGGCAGGUAUAUAAUGUAAAAUAUAAUGUAAAAUUGCAUGUUACAUUUUUUAGACCAAAUUUUGCUCUGAUAUUUUAAAUUUACAAACUACUGGGGCAGAUUUUUGUGGAUUACAUUUAAGGUUAUCAGCAUGUCUAUAGACACAAAAUUUGCACAAAAACACAGCUUUUCAGGAAGAUGCUUAGUGUUUGUGUUCCUACCCUAUAUACUUUACCCCUUAGUGCUUGUCAUCAUGGUGGGAGGCAAAAUACCAGCUAUAGGGUAGCACAUGCACUUUGAUACCUUGCACUGUUAUCUAUUAUGUAUAAGGCUGUGGGUACAUCAGUAAUAAA